AUUGAACGCUGGCGGCAUGCCUUACACAUGCAAGUCGAACGGUGACAGGUCUUCGGAUGCUGACGAGUGGCGAACGGGUGAGUAAUACAUCGGGACGUGCCUAGUAGUGGGGGAUAACUACUCGAAAGAGUGGCUAAUACCGUAUGAGAUCUACGGAUGAAAGCAGGGGAUCGCAAGACCUUGUGCUACUAGAGCGGCCGAUGGCAGAUUAGGUAGUUGGUGGGAUAAAAGCGUACCAAGCCGACGAUCUGUAGCUGGUCUGAGAGGACGAUCAGCCACACUGGGACUGAGACACGGCCCAGACUCCUACGGGAGGCAGCAGUGGGGAAUUUUGGACAAUGGGCGAAAGCCUGAUCCAGCAAUGCCGCGUGCAGGAUGAAGGCCUUCGGGUUGUAAACUGCUUUUGUACGGAACGAAAAGCCCCGGGUUAAUACCCUGGGGUCAUGACGGUACCGUAAGAAUAAGCACCGGCUAACUACGUGCCAGCAGCCGCCGUAA
rnacentral:rRNA from 1 species